GGGGUAAAAUUAAAAAAUUAUAAUUAAUAAAAAAAAUUUUAAUAUUAAAAAUAAAUAAAUGGGGGUUUAAGUAUUUUUAAUAGAAAAAAUUAAUAUUUUUAUAGUUAAAUAUUACUGUAAAGGAAUGUAUAAAAUAAUUGAAAGAAAAAUUAAUUAAAAAGUAAAUUUAAUUUAUUGUAUCUUGUGUAUCAGAGUUUAUUAAAUAAUAAUAAUUUAGUUAAAUAAAUCUCGAAUUUAAAAGAGUUAAUUAAUUAAAAAAUUUAAUGUUGUAUAAUUAUUUUUAAUAAUUAAUUGGAAAUGAAAUGUUAAUCGUUUUUAAAUAUAUCUAGUUUUUUUAGAAAAAAAUUUAAUUUAAAAUUAAAAUAAUUUUAUAAUUAUUUAAUUAAUUAUGAAAAUUUGAAAUUUAAUAUUUUAGGGGAUAAGCUUUAAAUUAAAAAUUUAUAAUUAAAUUAAUUAUAAAUUAAAAUUUUUAAUAUUUAUAUUGUUUAAAAAUUAUAAUUUAUUAUAAAAAAUUUUAAUAAAAAAUAAAAUUUAAAAUAAAAUUUAAAUUUUUAUAAAAAAAUAAUUUGUAAUUAAAUAAAAUUAGUAAUAAAUAUUUAUAUAUAUAUAUAUAUAUAUAUAUAUAAUUUAAAUAAAAAUUUAUUAAAAAAUAAAUUAAAGGAAUUCGGCAAAAAUUUAUGUUCACUUGUUUAUCAAAAACAUGUCUUUUUGAUUUUAAUUUAAAGUCUAAUCUGCCCACUGAUAUUAUAAAUUAAAGGGCUGCAGUAUAUUGACUGUACAAAGGUAGCAUAAUCAUUAGUCUUUUAAUUGAAGACUUGUAUGAAAGAUUUGAUGAGAUAUAAACUGUCUCUAUUUUAAAAUUAGAAAUUAAUUUUUUAGUAAAAAAGCUAAAAUAAGAUUAAAAGACGAGAAGACCCUAUAGAGUUUUAUAUUUUAUUUUUUUUUUAUAAAAAUAUAUAAUUAAUUAGCAAAUAAAAUAAAGUAUUUUAUUGGGGUGAUAGAAAAAUUUAAUAAACUUUUUUUAUUUUUUAACAUAAAUAAGUGAAUUAUUGAUCCAUUAUUAAUGAUUAAAAGAAAAAAUUACCUUAGGGAUAACAGCGUAAUAUUUUUUUUUAGUACGAAUAAAAAAAAAAGUUUGCGACCUCGAUGUUGGAUUAAGAUAAAAUUUAAAUGCAGAAGUUUAAAAUUUUGAUCUGUUCGAUCAUUAAAAUCUUACAUGAUCUGAGUUCAAACCGGUGUGAGCCAGGUUGGUUUCUAUCUUUAAUAAAUAAAAAUAUUUUAGUACGAAAGGAUUAAAUAUUUAAAAUAAUUUUAUUUGUUUGAAUAUUAUUAAAUAUGAAUUUA
rnacentral:rRNA from 1 species